rnacentral:rRNA from 1 species
GUCCACGCCGUAAACGAUGGAUGCUAGCCGUUGGUGGGUUUACCCUUCAGUGGCGCAGCUAACGCAUUAAGCAUCCCGCCUGGGGAGUACGGUCGCAAGAUUAAAACUCAAAGGAAUUGACGGGGCCCGCACAAGCGGUGGAGCAUGUGGUUCAAUUCGAAGCAACGCGCAGAACCUUACCAGCCCUUGACAUGUCCCGUAUGAGCACCGGAGACGGAGCUCUUCAGUUCGGCUGGCGGGAACACAGGUGCUGCAUGGCUGUCGU